AACCGUGUACGUACAAGCAGUGGGAGCACCCUUCGGGGUGUGACUGCGUACCUUUUGUAUAAUGGGUCAGCGACUUAUAUUCUGUAGCAAGGUUAACCGUAUAGGGGAGCCGGAGGGAAACCGAGUCUUAAUUGGGCGUUAAGUUGCAGGGUAUAGACCCGAAACCCGGUGAUCUAGCCAUGGGCAGGUUGAAGGUUGGGUAACACUAACUGGAGGACCGAACCGACUAAUGUUGAAAAAUUAGCGGAUGACCUGUGGCUGGGGGUGAAAGGCCAAUCAAACCGGGAGAUAGCUGGUUCUCCCCGAAAGCUAUUUAGGUAGCGCCUCGUGAAUUCAUCUCCGGGGGUAGAGCACUGUUUCGGCUAGGGGGCCAUCCCGGCUUACCAACCCGAUGCAAACUGCGAAUACCGGAGAAUGUUAUCACGGGAGACACACGGCGGGUGCUAACGUCCGUCGUGAAGAGGGAAACAACCCAGACCGCCAGCUAAGGUCCCAAAGUCAUGGUUAAGUGGGAAACGAUGUGGGAAGGCCCAGACAGCCAGGAUGUUGGCUUAGAAGCAGCCAUCAUUUAAAGAAAGCGUAAUAGCUCACUGGUCGAGUCGGCCUGCGCGGAAGAUGUAACGGGGCUAAACCAUGCACCGAAGCUGCGGCAGCGAACGUAUCACCCAAGACAACUUUACGGAGUUGACGAUUGACGGAGCGAAGCGACGUCAAAGCGUUCAUUAAAGUCGAGUUGGCUUAGGGAUACGUUCGUUGGGUAGGGGAGCGUUCUGUAAGCCUGUGAAGGUGUGUCGUGAGGCAUGCUGGAGGUAUCAGAAGUGCGAAUGCUGACAUAAGUAACGAUAAAGCGGGUGAAAAGCCCGCUCGCCGGAAGACCAAGGGUUCCUGUCCAACGUUAAUCGGGGCAGGGUGAGUCGACCCCUAAGGCGAGGCCGAAAGGCGUAGUCGAUGGGAAACGGGUUAAUAUUCCCGUACUUGGUGUUACUGCGAAGGGGGGACGGAGAAGGCUAUGUUGGCCGGGCGACGGUUGUCCCGGUUUAAGCGUGUAGGUGUGUGUUCCAGGUAAAUCCGGUUCACUUUAACACUGAGGCGUGACGACGAGGCACUACGGUGCUGAAGCAACAAAUGCCCUGCUUCCAGGAAAAGCCUCUAAGCAUCAGGUAACACGAAAUCGUACCCCAAACCGACACAGGUGGUCAGGUAGAGAAUACCAAGGCGCUUGAGAGAACUCGGGUGAAGGAACUAGGCAAAAUGGUGCCGUAACUUCGGGAGAAGGCACGCUGACACGUAGGUGAAGUGAUUUACUCAUGGAGCUGAAGUCAGUCGAAGAUACCAGCUGGCUGCAACUGUUUAUUAAAAACACAGCACUGUGCAAACACGAAAGUGGACGUAUACGGUGUGACGCCUGCCCGGUGCCGGAAGGUUAAUUGAUGGGGUCAGCGUAAGCGAAGCUCCUGAUCGAAGCCCCGGUAAACGGCGGCCGUAACUAUAACGGUCCUAAGGUAGCGAAAUUCCUUGUCGGGUAAGUUCCGACCUGCACGAAUGGCGUAAUGAUGGCCAGGCUGUCUCCACCCGAGACUCAGUGAAAUUGAACUCGCUGUGAAGAUGCAGUGUACCCGCGGCAAGACGGAAAGACCCCGUGAACCUUUACUAUAGCUUGACACUGAACAUUGAGCCUUGAUGUGUAGGAUAGGUGGGAGGCUUUGAAGUGUGGACGCCAGUCUGCAUGGAGCCGACCUUGAAAUACCACCCUUUAAUGUUUGAUGUUCUAACGUGGACCCGUAAUCCGGGUUGCGGACAGUGUCUGGUGGGUAGUUUGACUGGGGCGGUCUCCUCCUAAAGAGUAACGGAGGAGCACGAAGGUUGGCUAAUCCUGGUCGGACAUCAGGAGGUUAGUGCAAUGGCAUAAGCCAGCUUGACUGCGAGCGUGACGGCGCGAGCAGGUGCGAAAGCAGGUCAUAGUGAUCCGGUGGUUCUGAAUGGAAGGGCCAUCGCUCAACGGAUAAAAGGUACUCCGGGGAUAACAGGCUGAUACCGCCCAAGAGUUCAUAUCGACGGCGGUGUUUGGCACCUCGAUGUCGGCUCAUCACAUCCUGGGGCUGAAGUAGGUCCCAAGGGUAUGGCUGUUCGCCAUUUAAAGUGGUACGCGAGCUGGGUUUAGAACGUCGUGAGACAGUUCGGUCCCUAUCUGCCGUGGGCGCUGGAGAACUGAGGGGGGCUGCUCCUAGUACGAGAGGACCGGAGUGGACGCAUCACUGGUGUUCGGGUUGUCAUGCCAAUGGCACUGCCCGGUAGCUAAAUGCGGAAGAGAUAAGUGCUGAAAGCAUCUAAGCACGAAACUUGCCCCGAGAUGAGUUCUCCCUGAGACUUAGAGUCUCCUGAAGGAACGUUGAAGA
rnacentral:rRNA from 1 species